rnacentral:rRNA from 1 species
GAUGAACGCUGGCGGCGUGCCUAAUACAUGCAAGUCGAGCGAAUGGAUUAAGAGCUUGCUCUUAUGAAGUUAGCGGCGGACGGGUGAGUAACACGUGAGUAACCUGCCCAUAAGACUGGGAUAACUCCGGGAAACCGGGGCUAAUACCGGAUAACAUUUUGAACCGCAUGGUUCGAAAUUGAAAGGCGGCUUCGGCUGUCACUUAUGGAUGGACCCGCGUCGCAUUAGCUAGUUGGUGAGGAAACGGCUAACCAAGGCAACGAGGCGUAGCCGACCUGAGAGGGUGAUCGGCCACACUGGGACUGAGACACGGCCCAGACUCCUACGGGAGGCAGCAGUAGGGAAUCUUCCGCAAUGGACGAAAGUCUGACGGAGCAACGCCGCGUGAGUGAUGAAGGCUUUCGGGUCGUAAAACUCUGUUGUUAGGGAAGAACAAGUGCUAGUUGAAUAAGCUGGCACCUUGACGGUACCUAACCAGAAAGCCACGGCUAACUACGUGCCAGCCGCCGCGGUAA